rnacentral:ncRNA from 1 species
GGUUAAGUGACUAAGCGUACACGGUGGAUGCCUUGGCAGUCAGAGGCGAUGAAGGACGUAUUAACUUGCGAUAAGCCCAGAGAAGGUAGUAAAAACCGGUGACUCUGGGAUUUCCGAAUGGGGAAACCCACUUACAUAAGUAAGUAUCGUGUUGUGAAUACAUAGCAGCACGAGGCGAACCGGGGGAACUGAAACAUCUAAGUACCCCGAGGAAGAGAAAUCAACCGAGAUUCCGGCAGUAGCGGCGAGCGAAACCGGAUUAGCCCUUAAGCUAGUUUUGCGUUAGGUGAAAGUUCUGGAAAGUUCUGCGACACAGGGUGAUAGCCCCGUAACCGACAACGCAUUAUCAGUGAAAACGAGUAGGACGGGACACGUGAUAUCCUGUUUGAAUAUGGGGGGGACCAUCCUCCAAGGCUAAAUACUCCUGACUGACCGAUAGUGAACCAGUACCGUGAGGGAAAGGCGAAAAGAACCCCUGUGAGGGGAGUGAAAUAGAACCUGAAACCGUGUACGUACAAGCAGUAGAGCCCACUUGUUGGGUGACUGCGUACCUUUUGUAUAUGGGUCAGC